rnacentral:rRNA from 1 species
UACGGAGGGAGCUAGCGUUGUUCGGAAUUACUGCGCGUAAAGCGCACGUAGGCGGCUUUUUAAGUCAGGGGUGAAAUCCCGGGGCUCAACCCCGGAACUGCCCUUGAAACUGGAGAGCUAGAAUCUUGGAGAGGCGAGUGGAAUUCCGAGUGUAGAGGUGAAAUUCGUAGAUAUUCGGAAGAACACCAAUGGCGAAGGCGACUCGCUGGACAAGUAUUGACGCUGAGGUGCGAAAGCGUGGGGAGCAAACAGG